rnacentral:rRNA from 1 species
UACAGAGGGGGCAAGCGUUGUUCGGAAUUACUGGGCGUAAAGGGCGCGUAGGCGGCCUUCUAAGUCGAACGUGAAACCCCUGGGCUCAACCCAGGAACUGCGUCCGAUACUGGAAGGCUUGAAUCCGGGAGAGGGAUGCGGAAUUCCAGGUGUAGCGGUGAAAUGCGUAGAUAUCUGGAGGAACACCGGUGGCGAAGGCGGCAUCCUGGACCGGUAUUGACGCUGAGGCGCGAAAGCCAGGGGAGCAAACGGG